UUGUUUUCGUAACUUUUGUUUUUCUUCUUGCGCACUGGUUCGCUAAGAUAAGUAGCCAAUCAGAGUGAUCUUUCCUCAAUCGGCCAAAGAGACACCAACAGGGUCCUACUAGUGGUGACCGCAAUGAUGCCCUGGCGUUGGUGUGUCAUGGACUUAAGUUGCAUUAUCCUUGUCUAAUUGCAAAUAAUGACGCAAUUUGGUCCACUUUGGUUUUUGAUCUAUACCGAUCUAGAUACUGCUUUUCAGAUAUCACUAUGUGCCUGAAUACGUCUUAAAUACUCACAGAGGGAAGAAUGUCAGUCCUUAGUAAUACCUUGAUGUCAUUGCAUUUGUUUUUAAUUCAGGUUGACCUUUAAGGCCUUGACAUUGUUUUGCUUUUUUGUAAAGACUAAUUACUAGUGUUUUAUUGUGGAAACUUUUUUGUUUUGGACUCAUUUUGGUGUUAAUGGACUUUUCUACCUUCUUGCAACCAAGGAGGCCUGUGAUGAGAAUACAAACAAGCUGGAUAUGUCUUAGCAUCACAAAGAGAGAUGCACCAUAAUUGUUCGCCUGUACUAAAAAAGGGCCUUUUUUCCAGCAGCUAAGCUCAGAACUCUGUUUCAUGCUUUUCACAGUUUGUAGAGGAUUUUUCUUCCCUCCUAAAUGGAACAUAUUGAUUCCCUUCGCCUUUCCUCGCAGCACUGUGUUUGGAACAAGAGCGUGCAAAACAACCUCCACAUUGAGAGGUGGAAAUCUUGUAGCUGUCUAUGCACUUUGACCUCUGUGAGCAGCAGAGGAUGGAAUAGCCAUAUAGAAGACUCAGCGAUUCCCAGUUCCCACACCAGCGAGAGCCAGCCACUGUCAAUCUAUGGAGCAACGCAACUUGUACGGACCAAUGGGAUUGGAGCCCGGAAUGGGUCACCGCAAGAAGGACACAAUUUGAACCCCAAAGGCUUGGGUUUUGGAGGUGCUCCUGUAGCUUUAAGACUUAAAACUAACCCUUUAGAUAAAACUGUUUGUCACACUGUGAAAUGGGUGACAUCAAGGUAAACUGGAAACAUGAUUGUGCUUUUAUUGUUGGACCUGAUGGUGGUUUGGUUUUUUCCCAGCAGAGUUCACAUAGGAUAGUUCACCCAAAAAUUAACAUUGUCGUCAUUUAUUCACCCUCACUUCAUAGCAUACUUGUGUCUUUCUUAUCUUUCGUCUGCAGAACAAGAAAGAACAUAUUUUGAAGAACUUUUUACAGUUUUGUCCAUACAGUGAAAGUCAAAUGGGGUCCAAGCGUUUCAAACUUCAAAAAGGAUGUAAAGGUAGUGUAAAAUAUAAAAUCAUUGAUUAAAUACUGUAUGAUGACAUGUCAGUAAUAGCAACUCUCAUUGGUUCUUGUGUGUCUCAUGAUGCCAUAACACAAGGUUUGAUGUUACUACUCCAUAUUUGGUUUUUUUUUUGGGUGAACUGUCCCUUUAAGUAACUCAAUGUUUUCUGUGCAUGUAGCAUCAUAAUGUAGUUUCGAAUGGGAUUCUGAUGCGCAUAGAGGGUGUGAGUUUCAAUGUUUUUGGUGUGUGAGCUUGAAAGUUAACUUGAGAUCUGUGUAUGCAUGCAUUUUCAGUCUCAUUGGCAUCUCAGACUUCACACUCACAAGUUUUGCAGUGUUUAACCCUACACGAUGAGGUAAUAAUAUGGCUUGCUUAAAGCAGUUUGGAUCUCUAUGGAGAACUUUAAACUGUCUAAAGUUGUGUUGUAGUUCAUCUCCUGCGUCUUUACAUUUCAAAGCAAGGUGGUCAGAAGCAUAUCUACGCAGGGCCAAGUUGUAUCUUACCCAAACAACAUAACAAACAAGAAAACACUGAACUGGAAAUAUUUCAUUUAUUUCGGUGAGUAACAGACAUUAAUCUCAAAUUGUCGAUUUGGCAUUAGUCCUUGUUAAGAUGGGUGGAUGGAAUAGCAUUCUUAUAAAAAUUAGGGAGAAUUUUUCUUUUUUUGUGCGUGAGUAUAUGUGUUUUUUAGGUGGAGGACAAUGAAUACACAUUAAUAAAACUAUAAUGUAUCAUUGCAACAAAACUAUAAAUAUUGUAUAAAUUUGCAUUAAUUUUUGUAAUCUCGUUCCCGUAAUGCAACCACCUUUCUUUUUGAAAGGAGAACAUGUUUGGUACUUGUUUGUAAAUAAUGUUUGCAUUGCACUUGCAGUCUACAAAUGUGUGCCUGUUCAUUUCAAAGCUGAAACAUUGCAUUGUUUGUUACGCAAAUUGAAUUCAUGAAUUCACACACGCUUGGAUAACUUUGUUUAUUUUAUAUGUUUAUUAAUGCCUUGAACAGUUUGUGUUUAUGCAAAUGUACAGAUUUGAGCUCAGACAGCUAUAUUACGAUAUGAAAAUAAAGCACUUGUUCUGUAACAAA